rnacentral:rRNA from 1 species
AUUGAACGCUGGCGGCAGGCCUAUCACAUGCAAGUCGAACGGUAGCACAGAGAGCUUGCUCUCGGGUGACGAGUGGCGGACGGGUGAGUAACGUCUGGGAAACUGCCCGAUGGAGGGGGAUAACCACUGGAAACGGUAGCUAAUACCGCAUAACGUCGCAAGACCAAAGUGGGGGACCUUCGGGCCUCACACCAUCGGAUGUGCCCAGAUGGGAUUAACUAGUAGGGGGGGUAAUGGCUCACCUAGGCGACGAUCCCUAGCUGGUCUGAGAGGAUGACCAGCCACACUGGAACUGAGACACGGUCCAGACUCCUACGGGAGGCAGCAGUGGGGAAUAUUGCACAAUGGGCGCAAGCCUGAUGCAGCCAUGCCGCGUGUAUGAAGAAGGCCUUCGGGUUGUAAAGUACUUUCAGCGGGGAGGAAGGCGGUGGAGUUAAUAACUUCACCGAUUGACGUUACCCGCAGAAGAAGCACCGGCUAACUCCGUGCCAGCAGCCGCCGUAA